ACCUCGACCCGGAGAAAUCCGGACAGUUCUACUCUGAGCGGUUAGUUCAGAGGAGGUAGGAGACCGAGUUUGCAGACAAUUACAGGGACAAAGUGGGGAACUUACCUGCUACCCGGAACCAGCACUGCCAAAUUCUCCUGGGUGUCCUGGAGUCCACGCGCUCCCGGGGCCUCGGCGUCCUGAGGAGUUCGCGAGACCAGAGUUUGGCUUUCUGACCUGUAAGGUGCCUCUCGCCUUGAACCAAUUUCUAAAUCUUGUCACCCUCCAGAGGAGGGCCUACGCGGCACACACACAGAUAUGGGAUGGUUCAGAACUUCAGGGGACAAGUGCUCCCUUUAUUGGAAACAAACCAAGGAGGGAUCUUAUCUCCUGAUGGCCCUUGUUUGUACCUGGAGCCCUGCUGUUGCCCUCCGCUUGCUUCUUCUCCACAGACUGCAGGUGUGGAAUCUGGGGCUGCUUCGGACUGCCUGCAGCAGCCGACUAUGAUUUGUCUCAUGCACUAGCAGGGGUGUGAUUCUGACAGCCGCAGACAGUUCCCUCGAUAGUGUGACAUUUGGAAUUAUGGGGACUUUUCAGAGGGUGGCCCCGAGAGGCUGAACAUUGGUUGCUGUUGCUCGUUGUUUGUGUGCAAAAAAGAAACAAGAAAGAAUUCCAUCUCGUGACUGUGAAGAUGAAAUUUGCUCCAAGCUCCAAAGAACUUGACCCCCCUCAUCAGCAGGAGGCAGCCUGACAAGAACCAGAACCCUUUCCUUUCUAUCCUUUUUUCUCUCCUACCUUGUGGUAUGGUGUUGAAAGGGUAAACUAAAAAGGGGAGCUGGGGAAGGGUAGAAGAAAGAAAGCCCCACAAAAAGUCAGGCUAAAGGGGUGGGACGUCCAUGUGUAGGUCAGAGUACACCUCUGUGUGUUGAGUCAUUCCUCAGCGACAUCUGUGUGGGUUACAGGAAGAGAAUUGAGCUUUCUGGGCUUGCACCGCCAUCCACUCAGCCAUCGAGUGAGCCCUCUUACAAAUAUUAUAAGUGAAAUAAAAAGCAGGCAGGCUCAAGGUGGUGUUUAUGAGAUAUUCUAGGAAAGACAGGAUAUGUCUCUGGUUAGAGAAACCAAAUUGUGUGUGAUGAGGGAAUACAUAGAAAGAAGAGUGAGAAGAUUUCUGGGCUGAUGGAACUUUCUAGAUUAUCAUGGUAUUGAUGGUUAAGGUAGUUUAUACAUUUGUCAGAGAUGUACACUUAAAAUCAAUUUUGGGGGCUGGGUGUGUAUCUGAUCCCAGUUGCCUAGUUUGCAUAAGACCCUGGGCUUGAUUACAAUACUGCCAAAAGCAAAGCAAAACAAACAAAA